rnacentral:lncRNA from 1 species
AAAUAUUAUUAUGUUAAAACUAUAAUUAUUUUUAUGAUCCUUACUAUUCCAAUCUAACUAUCCAAACAUUAUUUUUCUUAUUCCCGAGAAAAACUCAAUUUUCAUCCAAACGCAAAAUUAGUUUUAUCCCUACUUUUUCCAAGAGUUGUACCUAUCCCUAGAAUAGCCUAAAAUAACUUAUUCCCGAACCAAAUGGUACCUUAGUGUUUAAGAUACUUGUAACAGCACUAUUAUUAUUCAAAUUACGGUCUAAUAUAAUGUAAUUAUUAGUUCGUUUGAUUUGAUUCAGUCAUUUAAACAGGUGGCUUAAAGGUGCUUCACUUAUGUUUACAAAAUAAAUAAGUGAAAAAUAUUAUAUAGUUAGUUAAAGUAAAGCUCUUUUUUAUAUUUUUGAGUAUCUUAGACAGGCAAGGCUUGAAUUGGCAUAAAAAGCCGAAAACUUAUCAAAUUUUUUAAAAAACUUUACUCAAAUAAUAUAUCUGUCUGCGAAGCCUGUCGAUGAAACCUUCUGUUUUUUUAAGAGAACAUAAUGAUUUUAUAAAUGACUAACUCUUCACGAUAACAACUUCACAAUUUUAAACUAUGUUUGUCUUUUUUGUUUUUUCCUCUUCGUUUAUUUUAUUUUGAAAUAAAUUUAGCUGAAAAUAUGAAUCAACUAAGAUUAGAACUUAGAACCUCAGAUGCCAACUACUAAAUUUUUUGUCACUUGCGCUGGAGUGGUUGGUUUUAA